CUACCAUGCAGUCGACGAGAAGGUUCCUUCGGGAACUGAGUAAAGUGGNGUAAAGGNGAGUAACGCGUAGAUAAUCUACCCUCUUGUCCGGGAUAACAUCGGGAAACCGGUGCUAAUACCGGAUAUCUUCCAUUGCUGUCGGGUGAUGGAGGAAAGGUGGCCUCCCUAUUCAAGCUUCCGCAAGGGGACGAGUCUGCGUACCAUUAGCUUGUUGGUGGGGUAAAGGCCUACCAAGGCGACGAUGGUUAGCGGGGUCUGAGAGGAUGAUCCGCCACACUGGCACUGGAACACGGGCCAGACUCCUACGGGAGGCAGCAGUGAGGAAUAUUGCGCAAUGGGGGAAACCCUGACGCAGCGACGCCGCGUGAGUGAGGAAGGCCUUCGGGUCGUAAAGCUCUGUCAGGAGGGAAGAAAUGUUAUACGGUUAAUACCCGUAUAGCUUGACGGUACCUCCAGAGGAAGCACCGGCUAACUCCGUGCCAGCAGCCGCGGUAAUACGGAGGGUGCAAGCGUUGUUCGGAAUCACUGGGCGUAAAGGGCGCGCAGGCGGUUUGUUAAGUCAGAUGUGAAAGCCCACGGCUCAACCGUGGAAGUGCAUUUGAAACUGGCAGACUUGAGUACCA
rnacentral:rRNA from 1 species